UGAUCAUGGGACAUGUAUUCUUCAUGGCAUGCACAUCUACUUCUGAUAUAAUGUGGAUUUAAGAGGGUUUCAUACCUCAGUAGUUAUUAGUGUCUAAUUAAAAAUGCUCAACAGCUUGUGACAAUUCUGGGAUCGCUGUAGUGUUUUGAACAACAAGCAGCAUACACAGGGACCCCCAGGACCGAGUUAGAAAACCCCAGAUCUAAGCCACACCCACAUUAGGGUUUGCCUAAAUUCAAUAGGUCUCGACAUUACACGUUUGAAGACAAACAUCUAUGGAACAUCGAACCUGUAUUGCAUUCAUUCUGAAACUGAGAGCACACAUACAUACUCAUGGAAUGUAGCAGAACGCACAUCCACACGCAUAUCUUUUUCCUUCGCUUUUUUUUUCUUUCAAGUUUUCGCUCUAGGCAGGUCCCGAUGACUCGAGGCAGCAGGUUUCGGGCACGCAGUCGACACAGCAGGCGAGCGUCCGUACGGAAACAGGGUCCAAAAAUUCCACCGUUUUAUAGCAAGGCUGGUGUUGUAUGCCGUUUGUAUGAGAGGUGAGACUGGAUAGAUGUCUUCCUGGUCUGAGCGCGCUUCUCUUCUGGCUUGUUUUUGUCAGCUAAUCAUAAGAAAACAGUGAACGAUACCGGCUUUAGUGCAGAAGCCAAGUCCUGAGGAACAAGGGGGGGAAACAACGCUGGAAAUGACAUCACGUUAAAACAGACCAAUAAUUACCUUGCCAUAAGUUUGUAGGCAACACACACGCACGUAAGCUUUUAAACAUAUAAAUACACACUAACAGCAUCAUCGUUAUCGUCAUCAUUACUGAGAACUGAGUAUCACUGAGAGAGAAGCAGACCGACUCCCCAACUCUUUUGUACAUUUCAAUCUGGCUAUGGCCUAAACCUUGUCCUACAUUAUACAAGUCACCCAUUAUGAAUAAAUAAUAUUUUGAUUGUUAAAAUUUUUAAAAUAAAAGUAGUAUCCACGAUCCAAUUCAUUGUAUGAAAAUGGAAAUACUAGAUGUAGUGUUCAUAAAAAGUAUACUGUUUAUAUUCUUAAAAAUUCAAUUGACAAUUGAUAUUUUAGAAUACAUUACUUUUUUCAGGGGCACAAAUAGCAGUGAGUGGCUGCAGUAUGCUGAAUCAUCGAAAAAAAACCAAUGGCAGAACAAUUUAACCUGAUCUCCCAAAACGCGACGGUCAACUGUCACAUAUGGAAACGAAACCAGAUGCAAAUCCCUUUUAGGAGUGCAAAUGACCUUUUUUUUCUGCCACUAACUGCUGCUGUCGCUGCUGCUGCUGCAAAAAAAAGUCAGAAUCCAAAAUUAAGAGUUUAAUUGUAAACACCAUUUUGGCUUUUCCUCAUUCUCAGGGUUGCAUACGAGCGGAAAGUAUACGAGAACAGCCGGGAUUUUGUAAGUAAUCCUACGGCUCGUUUUGAGCCCAGACCCAGUGACACGGUGUUUGGAACCGUACGUGCUAAACGAAGCACUCGUUUUUAACAAAAGACGGACUGUGAGGGCAUGCACAGACGCGGCAGGAACAAGGGCCGGGCGCGGCUUCACAGGCCCGGUGGCCUCGGACCACAGCAAGGCCUCGGCCAACCAGGACCGAAGAGAGCGGAGACCAGGAGGAAGACCGCCAUUUCUGCGGAGGAAGCCCGUAUGCAUCCGAUGCGGAUAACGAAGACACUCACGGGCACCUCCGAGAACGGGAGAGGGGAAACGGGUCAGAGCGGAACGAAGGCCCGAACGCUCGGGAACAAGAGGCGGAUUUGUAGUUUUGUAGUUCCGCCUCCCUGGAAUGAUGUGCAUAGAGGGGAGAUGGGAGGCGAGUUUCUGUGACCUAAAAUCGCAAGGACCGGGCGGUUUGGCAUAGAACAGAGAGUCUGUGGAAAUGUGGAGUUAAUUUUUUUUUUUUUUUUAAGUUUUACACAGGAACACCUCGAGAAUUCAAAUCACGAUGAAAGCACUUAUUUCUUCCAUACAAAAAAAUAUAUAUAAUAUAUACUGUAUAUAAAAUCAAAAAAAAAACAUAGAAAGGGACAUGUUUUCAAGUAACAGUUUGAAGGAAAUGGUCGUGCACUGGGCUGCACCUUUGUAAACGAUGGAAAAAAAAGAACAAAACAAAUUAAAAACAAA